GGGCCUGUAGUUCAGUCGGCUAGAACAUCGCAUUUGCAAUGCGAAGGUCACCGGUUCGAGCCCGGUCAGGUCCA
rnacentral:tRNA from 3 species